UACAGAGGAGCCAAGCGUUGUCCGGAUUGACUGGGCGUAAAGCGCACGCAGGCGGAUUUGUAAGUCAGGGGUGAAAUCCCGGGGCUCAACCUCGGAACUGCCUUUGAUACUGCAAAUCUCGAGUCCGGAAGAGGUGAGUGGAAUUCCUAGUGUAGAGGUGAAAUGCGUAGAUAUCAGGAGGAACACCCGUGGCGAAGGCGGGUCUCUGGGCCGAUACUGACGCUGAGGAGCGAAAGCGUGGGGAGCGAACAGG
rnacentral:rRNA from 1 species